UUCUAAGGGCGUUGAAGCAUGAUCGCAAGGACAUGUGGAGCGCUUAGAAGUGAGAAUGCCGGUGUGAGUAGCGAAAGACGGGUGAGAAUCCCGUCCACCGAUUGACUAAGGUUUCCAGAGGAAGGCUCGUCCGCUCUGGGUUAGUCGGGUCCUAAGCUGAGGCCGACAGGCGUAGGCGAUGGAUAACAGGUUGAUAUUCCUGUACCACCAUUAUUCGUUUUAAGCGAUGGGGGGACGCAGUAGGAUAGGCGAAGCGUGCUGUUGGAGUGCACGUCCAAGCAGUGAGAUUGAGUGUUAGGCAAAUCCGGCACUCUUAAGAUUGAGCUGUGAUGGGGAGAGGAACUUGUUCCUCGAGUCGUUGAUUUCACACUGCCGAGAAAAGCCUCUAGCUAGAAUAACGGUGCCCGUACCGCAAACCGACACAGGUAGUCAAGAUGAGAAUUCUAAGGUGAGCGAGCGAACUCUCGUUAAGGAACUCGGCAAAAUGACCCCGUAACUUCGGGAGAAGGGGUGCUCUUUGAGGUUCACGCUUCGAAGAGCCGCAGUGAAUAGGCCCAAGCGACUGUUUAUCAAAAACACAGGUCUCUGCUAAACCGUAAGGUGACGUAUAGGGGCUGACGCCUGCCCGGUGCUGGAAGGUUAAGAGGAGUGGUUAGCGCAAGCGAAGCUACGAAUCGAAGCCCCAGUAAACGGCGGCCGUAACUAUAACGGUCCUAAGGUAGCGAAAUUCCUUGUCGGGUAAGUUCCGACCCGCACGAAAGGCGUAACGAUUUGGGCACUGUCUCAACGAGAGACUCGGUGAAAUCAUAGUACCGGUGAAGAUGCCGGUUACCCGCGACAGGACGGAAAGACCCCGUGGAGCUUUACUGUAGCCUGAUAUUGAAAUUCGGUACAGUUUGUACAGGAUAGGUAGGAGCCUUAGAAGCGUGAGCGCUAGCUUACGUGGAGGCAUUGGUGGGAUACUACCCUAAUUGUAUUGGAUUUCUAACCCGCAGCACUUAUCGUGCUGGGAGACAGUGUCAGGCGGGCAGUUUGACUGGGGCGGUCGCCUCCUAAAGAGUAACGGAGGCGCUCAAAGGUUCCCUCAGAAUGGUUGGAAAUCAUUCAUAGAGUGUAAAGGCAUAAGGGAGCUUGACUGCGAGACCUACAAGUCGAGCAGGGUCGAAAGACGGACUUAGUGAUCCGGUGGUUCCGCAUGGAAGGGCCAUCGCUCAACGGAUAAAAGCUACCCCGGGGAUAACAGGCUUAUCUCCCCCAAGAGUUCACAUCGACGGGGAGGUUUGGCACCUCGAUGUCGGCUCAUCGCAUCCUGGGGCUGUAGUCGGUCCCAAGGGUUGGGCUGUUCGCCCAUUAAAGCGGUACGCGAGCUGGGUUCAGAACGUCGUGAGACAGUUCGGUCCCUAUCCGUCGUGGGCGUAGGAAAUUUGAGAGGAGCUGUCCUUAGUACGAGAGGACCGGGAUGGACAUACCUCUGGUGUACCAGUUGUCGUGCCAACGGCAUAGCUGGGUAGCUAUGUAUGGACGGGAUAAGUGCUGAAAGCAUCUAAGCAUGAAGCCCCCCUCGAGAUGAGAUUUCCCAACUUCGGUUAUAAGAUCCCUCAAAGAUGAUGAGGUAAAUAGGUUCGAGGUGGAAGCGUAGCGAUACGUGGAGCUGACGAAUACUAAUCGAUCGAAGACUUAAUCAA
rnacentral:rRNA from 1 species